rnacentral:rRNA from 1 species
UACGAAGGGGGCUAGCGUUGUUCGGAAUCACUGGGCGUAAAGGGUGCGCAGGCGGCCGAGUGUGUGAGGCGUGAAAGCCCGGGGCUUAACCCCGGAAUUGCACCUCAAACUACACGGCUAGAGCAUUGGAGAGGGUAGCAGAAUUCAUGGUGUAGCAGUGAAAUGCGUAGAUAUCAUGAGGAAUACCAGAGGCGAAGGCGGCUACCUGGACAAUUGCUGACGCUCAGGCACGAAAGCGUGGGGAGCAAAAGGG